CUUAAGCAUAUUAAUAAGCGGAGGAAAAGAAACUAACAAGGAUUCCCCUAGUAACGGCGAGUGAAGCGGGAUGAGCUCAAGCUUAAAAUCUCCGUGCAAAUUUUGCAUGGCGAAUUGUAGUCUAUAGAGGCGUGAUUAGCAUAGGCACUUGGGGCAAGUUCCUUGGAAGAGGACAGCAUCGAGGGUGAUACUCCCGUUUAUCUCCGAGUUGCUUAUGCGUACAAUCCGUUUUCUUUGAGUCGCGUUGUUUGAGAAUGCAGCGCAAAGUAGGUGGUAAAUUCCAUCUAAAGCUAAAUAUUGGUGCGAGACCGAUAGCAAACAAGUACCGUGAGGGAAAGAUGAAAAGAACUUUGAAAAGAGAGUUAAAGAGUACCUGAAACUGCUGAAAGGGAACCAAAUCGUUUCCAGUGUCUAUAAUCCGUGGUAUAUUUCAUUGGCGAAUGUGUGCGUGCGUGUACUCUGGCAGCGGCUUUUUGCUGCGCCUUGUGUGUGUGUGCACUUUCUCGCUGAUGCCCUGUACCGUGGUGGGACGUCAAUGUCGGUUCGUAAAUUGCGGGAAAUGACUGCUGAGGAGGUAGGGCGAACGCUUGCGUUUGUCUGUUAUAUCUUGGCGGACGUAGUAGUCGCGGUUGGGACUGAGGUGCCUACAAUGUGCUUAUGAGUAGAAUUGAUUCUCUGUGUGCGCCGUGUGCGGAUAGCUUGCUAUGCGUGUGUGGCUGUGUGUGGAUUGAGUCGAGACGUAACUUAUUGCCGUUCGGGACGUUGACGAAAUGGAGCGAUUUGACCCGUCUUGAAACACGGACCAAGGAGUCUAACAUGUGUGCAAGUGUUAGGGUGUGGAAACCCCAGCGCGUAAUGAAAGUAAAGGAUAGCGUAAGUUAUCUGAGGUAGGAAAUGCUGCGGGUUCGUCCUGCGGCGUGGC
rnacentral:rRNA from 1 species